rnacentral:rRNA from 1 species
GAUGAACGCUAGCGGGAGGCCUAACACAUGCAAGCCGAGCGGUAUUUGUUUUUCGGAACAGAGAGAGCGGCGCACGGGUCCGGAACCCGUGUGCAACCUCCCUUUAUCUGGGGGAUAGCCUUUCUAAAGGAAAAUUAAUACCCCUUAAAAUUUUGAGUGGCAUCAUUUGUUAUUUAAAACUCCGUUGGUUAGAGAUGGGAACGCGCAAGAUUAGAUAGUUGGUGAGGUAACGGCUCACCAAGUCAUUGAUCUUUAGGGGGCGUGAGAGGGUGAUCCCCCACACUGGUACUGAGACACGGACCAGACUCCUACGGGAGGCAGCAGUGAGGAAUAUUGGACAAUGGGUUAGCGCCUGAUCCAGCCAUCCCGCGUGAAGGACGACGGCACUAUGGGUUGUAAACUUCUUUUGUAUAGGGAUAAACCUACUCUCGUGAGAGUAGCUGAAGGUACUAUACGAAUAAGCACCGGCUAACUCCGUG